AUUAACAGUAUUGGAUAAGAUGAGUCGUGACCGUGUUUAAAAGUAGUAUUGGAUAAGAUGAUGACAGUACGUGCUUAAAAGUAACAGUGAACGAUAAGCCUAAAGGAUUUUAUUGCAAACAGGUUGGUACAGACGUCUCAAUUUGAAAGCUGGUCUGCCUCCCCCCCAAAUACCUCCUGUUUCUGCUACUUUGGGACAAAGCAAUGGUCAAACUGAGGCUACGUGAACUUCAACUCAUAAGGUAUCAGCGACGCCAGCAAGCUUCCAUGUAAGAUAUUCCGUCCUUGGUCAUUGUACAGUCGGGGCGAAGUAUCGGCAACAAGAUUGCUGAAACAGCUCAGCACGAAGGGCGUGAAAACGAGUUAACCUUCAAUCAGAGUCUUGACGAUCCUCGUGGAUCAACCGAGUUGUAGCACUCGUCACGCUUCUUGGUUAUAGUGGUCCUUCUCUGUUGGAGACUCGAGCACAUCUUCUGGAUCGCCAAGUUCGAACAGCCAGAAUAACUUACGGAUGUCUACAAACCAACUAAACUAUAUGGAUGUUUGGCUGCUGUUCGCGUUAUUUACUGAACUAAGUUUCUACUGAUAUAUUGUGUCAUUAAGUCUACUCUUAACACUUUGUAUAUUAUGUCAUUUAAUAAAAUAAGUGUCUACUUCUCACAUAAAAUAGAUUAGGGGCCGUCCAUAAAGUACGUCACGCUGUGGAGUGGGGAGGAUGGGUUGUAAAAAAGUGUGACAGUUUGUGACAUGGGGGACUGCGGGGUAAGGCCAUGUGUUACGUCACACUUAAACAAAUAUUUCUUUUUUAUUUAUUUAUUUUUUAGUAGACUUAAAUAGCUUUUAAACAUAAUUUUCAAAAACUUGUUUAAACAUUUGAAUUUAAAUUUAUGUCAAUAUUGAAUGCGUAUCUCCUGAAUGUUUUGUUAACGAUUCCUCUCGCUAGGAGCGCUAGUGUGCCGUUGCAAAGCCUUGUUUUAUAUAAAGCAUUGCUUUCGUAAUGCCAUAAGUCUUAUUAUUUCUAUGCAGUCUGAUGCUUAAUUAUGUCACUGAUCGAAAUAUUCGGAAUUUAUUUUUUAUUUAUUAUAGUUAUUUUUAUAGAAAAUUUUGAAGGUUCAGAGGUAAUAUUCAUAUUAUUGAAUCAUCGUUAUUUUCAAGUUAUCUUAUUUCACGCUUAUCUAUUUCUUAUCCUGUGUUCAAAGAGUGCAUGAGUGGAAGAUAUC